rnacentral:rRNA from 1 species
GAAUUUUGGACAAUGGGCGCAAGCCUGAUCCAGCCAUGCCGCGUGAGUGAAGAAGGCCUUCGGGUUGUAAAGCUCUUUCGGCCGGAACGAAAUCGUCCGGGCUAAUACCCCGGAUGGGUGACGGUACCGGAAUAAGAAGCACCGGCCAACUACGUGCCCGCCGCCGCGGUCAUCCGUAGGGUGCAGGCGUUGCUCGGAAUUACUGGGCGUAAAGCGUGCGCAGGCGGCUACUCAAGUCAGAUGUGAAAUCCCCGGGCUUAACCUGGGAACUGCGUUUGAAACUGGGUGGCUAGAGUGCGGCAGAGGGGGGUGGAAUUCCACGUGUAGCAGUGAAAUGCGUAGAUAUGUGGAGGAACACCGAUGGCGAAGGCAGCCCCCUGGGCCUGCACUGACGCUCAUGCACGAAAGCGUGGGGAGCAAACAGGA